GACGAACGCUGGCGGCGUGCUUAACACAUGCAAGUCGAACGGAAAGGCCCUGCUUUUGUGGGGUGCUCGAGUGGCGAACGGGUGAGUAACACGUGAGUAACCUGCUCUUGACUUUGGGAUAACUUCAGGAAACUGGGGCUAAUGCCGGAUAGGAGCUCCUGCUGCAUGGUGGGGGUUGGAAAGUUUCGGCGGUUGGGGAUGGACUCGCGGCUUAUCAGCUUGUUGGUGGGGUAGUGGCUUACCAAGGCUUUGACGGGUAGCCGGCCUGAGAGGGUGACCGGCCACAUUGGGACUGAGAUACGGCCCAGACUCCUACGGGAGGCAGCAGUGGGGAAUAUUGCACAAUGGGCGGAAGCCUGAUGCAGCAACGCCGCGUGCGGGAUGACGGCCUUCGGGUUGUAAACCGCUUUCGCCUGUGACGAAGGGUGAGUGACGGUAAUGGGUAAAGAAGCACCGGCUAACUACGUG
rnacentral:rRNA from 1 species